CUAAGCACACUGUUGGUUAUGUGUGCCCAAGCAUUGAGGCAGUCAAAGUAGGCAAAUCCGCUUUGAUAAUGCUGGGAUGUGAUGGGGAGCGAAAUUUAGUAGCGAAGUAGCUGAUUUCACACUGUCAAGAAAAGUCUCUAUCGAGGUUAAAGGUACCCGUACCGCAAACCGACACAGGUGGGUGAGGAGAGUAUCCUAAGGCCAGCGAGAGAACUGUUGUUAAGGAACUCGGCAAAAUGACCCCGUAACUUAGGGAUAAGGGGUGCCACCAUCAGGUGGCCGCAGAGAAUAGGCCCAAGCGACUGUUUACCAAAAACAUAGGUUUCUGCUAAGUCGCAAGACGAUGUAUAGGAGCUGACGCCUGCCCGGUGCUGGAAGGUUAAGGGGAUCUGUUAGAGCAAUCGAAGCAGUGAACUUAAGCCCCAGUAAACGGCGGCCGUAACUAUAACGGUCCUAAGGUAGCGAAAUUCCUUGUCGGGUAAGUUCCGACCCGCACGAAAGGCGUAACGAUUUGGGCACUGUCUCAACAACAGACUCGGUGAAAUUGUAAUUCCGGUGAAGAUGCCGGAUACCUGCGACAGGACGGAAAGACCCCAUGGAGCUUUACUGUAGCUUGACAUUGGGUCUUGGUACUACAUGUACAGGAUAGGUGGGAGGCUUUGAAACCAGGACGCCAGUUUUGGCGGAGCCAUCCUUGGGAUACCACCCUUGUAGUACUGGGACUCUAACCAUAGGCCAUGAAUCUGGUCUUGGGACACUGUCAGGUGGGCAGUUUGACUGGGGCGGUCGCCUCCCAAAAGGUAACGGAGGCGCUCAAAGGUUCUCUCAGUACGGUCGGAAAUCGUACGUAGAGUGUAAAGGCAAAAGAGAGCUUGAUUGCAAGACAUACAGGUCGAGCAAGGAUGAAAAUCGGACUUAGUGAUCCGGUGGUUCUGCGUGGAAGGGCCAUCGCUCAACGGAUAAAAGCUACCCUGGGGAUAACAGGCUUAUCUCCCCCAAGAGUCCACAUCGACGGGGAGGUUUGGCACCUCGAUGUCGGCUCAUCACAUCCUGGGGCUGUAGUAGGUCCCAAGGGUUGGGCUGUUCGCCCAUUAAAGUGGUACGCGAGCUGGGUUCAGAACGUCGUGAGACAGUUCGGUCCCUAUCCGUCGCAGGCGUAGGAAAUUUGAGAAGACCUGUCCUUAGUACGAGAGGACC
rnacentral:rRNA from 1 species